rnacentral:sRNA from 1 species
UCCCUCUAGAAGCUGUGUGCUCAGCCUAAGAGGACGACCAUCCCUGAGAGAGGAGAACUGUGUUUUGGUCAAGGGUAUACGAGUAGCUGCACUCCCCUGCUAGAACCUCCAAACAAGCUCUCAAGGUCAAAGAUAGCUGGGUUUUUAAUA